GUGUGUUUACAGUGACUGUAUUUAGAGAUUCUGGAUCCAGAGACUUUGAACGAUUACCACCCAUUGGCUGCAUACCAAGUUGCUAGAACUUUGAUGGUGACCCCAAGGACUUGGCUACUGCAGUAACUUGAAAUGGCUUUGUUGCUUCUGGUCCACAUAAAUCCCAAACUCGUCCGUA